CUUGAAGAUCAACAAGGGCGAUUAGAGCAAAAACUGAGAGAGAAAAUGCUUAUUGACCCCACCUUGAAAACUCAACAAGAUAACCACGAAGAGGAAGAAAUGUUUGCCGAGAUGAUGAAAAUUCUAGAAAAGAGAGAUCAACUUGUGACUCGCAUCGAAGAACAACGACUCAGACACAACAAAGAGGAAGAGAAAUUGGAACGCAUGCAACUACCCAAAGAUUGUCAAAUAAAAAUGGACGUUAUCAAUAACAGAAGAAUUGUAUAAAAAUACUUUGAUGCAAACGGAAAAAAAUAAUAAUGUAGCAAUUAUUAUCGGUUAUUUGUAGAGCGCCAACAGAUUCCGCAGCGCUUCGCAAUAGUAGUGUUUUUGUGGACACUAGUUUUGUGAGUUUUUAUCCAUUUAGGACCAAUGGGAUACAAUGCGACCAUGACUUGUAUUUCCGAAAUUUUAUAAUUAAAGGGUGAGCACAUGGUAA